CACGUAGGGCGCAAGCGUUGUCCGGAAUUAUUGGGCGUAAAGAGCUCGUAGGCGGUCUGUUGCGUCCGCUGUGAAAACUCGGGGCUUAACCCCGAGCCUGCAGUGGAUACGGGCAGACUAGAGGUAGGUAGGGGAGAAUGGAAUUCCCGGUGUAGCGGUGAAAUGCGCAGAUAUCAGGAGGAACACCGGUGGCGAAGGCGGGACUCUGGGCCGAUACUGACGCUGAGGAGCGAAAGCGUGGGGAGCGAACAGG
rnacentral:rRNA from 1 species